GACGAACGCUGGCGGCGUGCUUAACACAUGCAAGUCGAACGGAAAGGCCCUGCUUGCAGGGUACUCGAGUGGCGAACGGGUGAGUAACACGUGGGUGAUCUGCCCUGCACUUCGGGAUAAGCCUGGGAAACUGGGUCUAAUACCGGAUAGGAGCCAUUUUUAGUGUGUUGGUUGGAAAGAUUUUUCGGUGUAGGAUGAGCUCGCGGCCUAUUAGCUUGUUGGUGGGGUAAUGGCCUACCAAGGCGGCGACGGGUAGCCGGCCUGAGAGGGUGGACGGCCACAUUGGGACUGAGAUACGGCCCAGACUCCUACGGGAGGCAGCAGUGGGGAAUAUUGCACAAUGGGCGCAAGCCUGAUGCAGCGACGCCUCGUGGGGGAUGACGGCCUUCGGGUUGUAAACUCCUUUCGCUAGGGACGAAGCUUUUUGUGACGGUACCUAGAUAAGAAGCACCGGCUAACUACGUG
rnacentral:rRNA from 1 species